rnacentral:lncRNA from 1 species
AGUAGAGUCGAGAAAUUGGCCAUGAGGGCAGGCAGCCCCAGUGGUCGCAGCCCCUCAUCCCCAGACCUUGCUCGGGAACCAGACUUGUACCCCGCUUGGUGCCUCCUGCCAACAGCACAGGCCUGAGAAUGGAGCAACCUUUCUCACGUGGGACUCAGGCCAUGCCAAGAAAGAUUGCACAGCACAUCCUGGCAGGUUUCGCCACCAAGAGGCGACAGGAAAUGCUAAGAAUGGCUCCACUUAGCUUCCAGAAAUCAUGGCAACAAGUAGAACAUUUUCUGUCCACAUCCAGAGGGAGAAGCCACAGGAGGAAAUACCUUGAAGCUUGUGGGACGUGCCUGGUGAGCCAACAAGAACUUGCUGAGUACAGGACGGACAAGGUUGGCAUUCCGCUGGCUCUACAGGGGAUCAACGGGAAGGAUGGAGAGAACAGCUUGUGUGCCAGGUGGGGAGACGGACAUGGACCAAUACUGAAUAACCUACAACACAAUGGUUUAGAAAGAGAAUUCAAGUGAGAAAACCCAGGCUCAGGAAGGUAGAUGAUUGGGCCAAGGUGAUGUGGCAGCAUGAAGCAUCUAAACCAGAAUCUAAACCUAAAUCUGACUCCAAAAUGAGGCACUUUAACUAGCCAAAGCCACCCCUUGGGGCAUCAGUGAGAAACGGUUUGUGCCAGAGGUUCAAAGUCAGCUUGCUAACGCUCCCAUGUGAAACGUCAGACAGGAGGGAUACAAGUCUUCUCCAGCUCUCCAUUCAUAAUGCCACAUCUUGAACCAUGAAAGGUGCUAAUCCUUUUUCUUUAUAACCUACAUUAUCAAAAUACAAUUUCAAUGCACUUCUAAUGGAUCUGAAUGAUGGUAGCAUUUCAGAAGUUCUGAGACAGACUUGUGCAUUCUUUCUUAUUGCUGACCAAGUCUUGCUCUAAGAGUAUUCAGGACAGACAUGAAUUUAGUUCUACUGGACUCAUUUUGGACUGGUGGAGUAUAGAAUUUGGUGACUGAAAUACGGAAAUGAUCCAUUGUAAGACACUCUCGUAUAAAAGGAACUCUUGUGUAGUCAGUCCCCAAAUAAAUUAUAGUAGGCUCUAAUUUAUAUAUAUUAAAUAUAUAAAUAAUGUAUAUUUUAAUAACCGUGAGAUUAAGAGCUUUUCUGGAAAUUCAUUCUGCCAAAGAAUGUCAGGCACAUAACAGAUUAAAGCACCAGGGAAAUCACAGAAUUUUUGACUCCAAACUCCUCAUCUCAUUUUGCAGAUGAGGAAACGGAGGCUUGUGGGAGCUCUUCAUGGCGGCUCCUGAAGUCUCUCACGCUCUUGCCUCAGGUGUCCUCAGCUACUCUAUGGGUUCCACGCCCGAGUCCACUUUACAGUGUGGAAUACUCUGUCAGACUUUUUAUUUCCCAAAUUUUAAGAUUUUCAAAAAUGGAAUUUCUUUAAAAUUAAGUGCUACGUCUUUAGCAGGGGUAGAUCUGAUAGGAUCAUCUCAUCACAACUGAUUUUACGAGCCUCUCCCACAUCUUCCGCUGCCUGGAGUUUUUUUUUUUUUUAAACACAAGCUUGUAA